AAGCUUCAAAAACAUACCAGCAAGGUACCUGAGCUGUGAUUUAGAGCCUUUUUGAGCAGUUGUCAUAAGCGAAGGUUUUGUGGAGACUACGGUCCCUAUUAGCGUUAUGCAAGAACCUUAUAUUUGUUAUUAAAAUGUGUGGAAUAUCCCCUGUUGAAAAAGAAUUGGAAGCAGGUGGGGCAGAAGUCCAGGGAUUUUCAAGCAAAAUUUGGAAAUUCAUAUUUCACUGAUGAAAAUUUCAUGGAAGAAAUCACGACGUGAGGAAGACGUUCUCGUGUUGGACUUUUCCCACAUGUAUCUACUCUAAGGACUUUAUUAGGGAUAUAUGUUUCUUUGUGUUUAUGGCUAAUAAUACAAUUGUUAUUUCAUUGUCGCUA